rnacentral:tRNA from 1 species
GCCUGGGUGGCUCAGUCGGUUAAGCGUCUGACUUCGGCUCAGGUCAUGACCUGAUCUCACGGUUCAUGGGUUCGAGCCCUGUGUCGGGCU